rnacentral:rRNA from 1 species
GUCGAACGGUAACAGGAAGCAGCUUGCUGCUUUGCUGACGAGUGGCGGACGGGUGAGUAAUGUCUGGGAAACUGCCUGAUGGAGGGGGAUAACUACUGGAAACGGUAGCUAAUACCGCAUAACGUCGCAAGACCAAAGAGGGGGACCUUCGGGCCUCUUGCCAUCGGAUGUGCCCAGAUGGGAUUAGCUUGUUGGUGGGGUAACGGCUCACCAAGGCGACGAUCCCUAGCUGGUCUGAGAGGAUGACCAGCCACACUGGAACUGAGACACGGUCCAGACUCCUACGGGAGGCAGCAGUGGGGAAUAUUGCACAAUGGGCGCAAGCCUGAUGCAGCCAUGCCGCGUGUAUGAAGAAGGCCUUCGGGUUGUAAAGUACUUUCAGCGGGGAGGAAGGGAGUAAAGUUAAUACCUUUGCUCAUUGACGUUACCCGCAGAAGAAGCACCGGCUAACUCCGUGCCAGCAGCCGCGGUAAUACGGAGGGUGCAAGCGUUAAUCGGAAUUACUGGGCGUAAAGCGCACGCAGGCGGUUUGUUAAGUCAGAUGUGAAAUCCCCGGGCUCAACCUGGGAACUGCAUCUGAUACUGGCAAGCUUGAGUCUCGUAGAGGGGGGUAGAAUUCCAGGUGUAGCGGUGAAAUGCGUAGAGAUCUGGAGGAAUACCGGUGGCGAAGGCGGCCCCCUGGACGAAGACUGACGCUCAGG